rnacentral:rRNA from 1 species
GACGAACCGUGCGAACGUUAUUCGGAAUCACUGGGCUUAAAGCGCGCGUAGGCGGCGUCGUAAGUUGGAGGUGAAAUCCCAUCGGCUCAACCGUGGAAGUGCUUUCAAUACUGCGAUGCUUGAGGGAGGUAGGGGUCCGUGGAACUUCCAGUGGAGCGGUGAAAUGUGUUGAGAUUGGAAGGAACGCCAGUGGCGAAAGCGACGGACUGGAUCUCAUCUGACGCUGAGGCGCGAAAGCUAGGGUAGCGAACGGGAUUAGAUACCCCAGUAGUCC